rnacentral:tRNA from 13 species
UGGCCCAUGGGGACUGAACCCACGACCUUCGCGUUAUUAGCACGACGUUCUAACCAACUGAGCAAAUGUACC